GCACUGCUGAAAGGUCCAACAAUAGGACGAAACGGCCGUCCAGUGC
rnacentral:hammerhead_ribozyme from 1 species